rnacentral:rRNA from 1 species
UGAAAUUGUUGAAAGGGAAGGGCUUGUGAUCAGAACUCGGGGCCGUCGGAUCAUCCAGUGUUCUCACUGGUGCGCUCCGGCGGUCUUGGGCCAGCAUCGGUUUUCGUGGGGGGAGAAAGGGCCCGGGAACGUAGCUCCUUCGGGAGUGUUAUAGCCCGGGUCGUAAUGCCUCCGCGGGGACCGAGGACCGCGCUUCGGCAAGGAUGCUGGCAUAAUGGUCAUCAGCCACCCGUCUUAAACACGGACCAAGGAGUC